rnacentral:rRNA from 1 species
AUUGAACGCUGGCGGCAGGCCUAACACAUGCAAGUCGAGCGAGCGGAGGACGGGUGCGUACUGUUUGGGAACCUGCCCGCUAGCGGCGGAUAACUCAUGGAUACGGUGGCUAAUCCCGCAUACUGUCGGCUGUACCCAUGUGGUAUUAGCUCGUAGGUAAGGUAAUGGCUUACCUAGGCGACGAUCCUUCGCUGGUCUGAGAGGAUGAUCAGACACACUGGGACUGAGAAACGGCCCAGACUCCUACGGGAGGCAGCAGUGGGGAAUAUUGGACAAUGGGCGAAAGCCUGAUGCAGCCAUGCCGCGUGUAUGAAGAAGGUCCUAGGGUUGUAAAGUACGUUCAGUCGGGAAGCGUUACCGACAGAAGAAGCAACGGCUAACUCCGUGCCAGCAGCCGCGGUAAUAC